rnacentral:rRNA from 1 species
UGGCGGACGGGUGAGUAACGCGUGGAAAACCUGCCGUAUACUGGGGGAUAACACUUAGAAAUAGGUGCUAAUACCGCAUAAGCGCACAGCUUCGCAUGAAGCGGUGUGAAAAACUCUGGUGGUAUACGAUGGUUCCGCGUCUGAUUAGCUAGUUGGUGGGGUAAUGGCCUACCAAGGCAACGAUCAGUAGCCGGCCUGAGAGGGUGAACGGCCACAUUGGGACAGAGACACGGCCCAAACUCCUACGGAAGGCAGCAG